UUGUUUGGGAAUGCAGCUCAAAAUGGGUGGUAAGUUUCAUCUAAAGCUAAAUACUGGCGGGAGACCGAUAGCGCCACAAGUAGAGUGAUCGAAAGAUGAAAAGCACUUUGGAAAGAGAGUUAAAAAGUACGUGAAAUUGUUGAAAGGGAAGCGCUUGCGACCAGACUUGCCCUCAGCUGAUCAACUUAGUGUUAUUCACUGGUGCACUUGGUUGAGGUCAGGCCAGCAUCGGUUUGAACGGUUGGAGAAAGAUCAGAGGAAUGUGGCUCCCUUCGGGGAGUGUUAUAGCCUGUGAUGCCAUGCAACCAGUUUGGACCGAGGACCGCGCCUUUGUGCUAGGAUGCUGGCGUAAUGGUCGUAAGCGACCCGUCUUGAAACACGGACCAAGGAGUCUAACAUCUAUGCGAGUGUUUGGGUGUCAAACCCAUGUGCGUAAUGAAAGUGAACGGAGGUGGGAACCCUUAAGGGUGCACCAUCGACCGAUCCUGAUGUCUUCGGAUGGAUUUGAGUAAGAGCAUAGCUGUUGGGACCCGAAAGAUGGUGAACUAUGCCUGAAUAGGGUGAAGCCAGAGGAAACUCUGGUGGAGGCUCGCAGCGGUUCUGACGUGCAAAUCGAUCGUCAAAUUUGGGUAUAGGGGCGAAAGACUAAUCGAACCAUUCCCCACGGGGGUAGGUGGUUAAGAGGCAGAUAAAAGGUCUGUCUAGUCCCAAAGUUCACGGGGCAACACUGUCAAAUUGCGGGGACUCCCUCAAAAUAGCCUAAACAACCGCAGCCUGGACGAAAGACGGGUGCGCACCAGGGUAAUGACCUCGGGUAUGGUAAAAUCGUUUAGGAUGGGGAUAUCCGCAGCUAAGUUCCUAAAGGCCUAGCCCUUUAGUACAGAGAAGGUCUUGGUUCGUCCCGGAAUGCAUGGGCUUUCAGUGAGAAUUAGCACUUGCUGUUAGCUUCAUGAAUCUUAACCUGAGACUGUACACUACUGGGGCCCAUGGAAAAAGUUCACAGACUAGAUGGCAGUGGGUGAGAGUUCGCUAAAACUCUUGCUUAAGGUAUAGUCGGGCCCCCGUGAGAGCGGGGCGGUGGGAAAAAGCACUUUAGUAAAGAGUGAACUCUGUGAAGUCUUCGUCUGACGCAGUCAAAGCUGUUACAGAUCCUAAGUGCCCGAAACCCAUCGGGAAGGACCUUUCUGGAGGUAGUGGAAAGUA
rnacentral:rRNA from 1 species